UACGAAGGUCCCAAGCAUUAUCCGGAUUUAUUGGGUUAAAGGGUGCGUAGGCGGGUUAUUAAGUCAGUGGUGAAAGCUCCCAGCUCAACUGGGAAACUGCCAUUGAUACUGAUAGUCUUGAGUAUGAUUGAAGUGGGCGGAAUGUGUCAUGUAGCGGUGAAAUGCUUAGAUAUGACACAGAACACCGAUUGCGAAAGGCAGCUCACUA
rnacentral:rRNA from 1 species